rnacentral:rRNA from 1 species
UGGGGAAUAUUGCACAAUGGGCGCAAGCCUGAUGCAGCGACGCCGCGUGCGGGAUGGAGGCCUUCGGGUUGUAAACCGCUUUUGUUCAAGGGCAUGGCACGGUCUUCGGCCGUGUUGAGUGGAUUGUUCGAAUAAGCACCGGCUAACUACGUGCC